AGCUGAUAAGCACCCAGAGAUGUCCCAGAACCUCAGACAGGCCGAGGAGCAGAGUGAAUCCCAGUAUGUCAAUCUGCAGCUGCACACGUUGCCCCUGAGGGAAGAGCCGGUGCCACCAAGUCAGGUGGAGGUAGAAUACAGCACACUGGCAUUACCUCAGGAAGAGCUCCAUUAUACAUCCGUGGUAUUCGACUCUCAGAGGCAGAAUUCUCAUGCCAAUGGGGAUCCCCCUUGUCAAUCUCCGGACCAAAAAACAGAGUACAGUGAGAUCCGGAAGCCCAGAGAAGGUCUCUCUGACCCUCACCCGUGACUCCUUGUCAUCUGAUCCCUUCAAUGGUGACCACCAGGUCCCCAAGCUCCCUGCUGGCUGCUGCCUUCAAUGUCGUGAGCCUCCCUGGCUUCACUAAAGAUGAGCAGGAGCCAGGGCUCUGUGGGUACAGAGUCUCAUCCCUGUGGCUCUCUCCUCUUAGCCUGCAUUUCGUUCUGCCCCUGGUUGUGAAGAUGUAGAUGCUACUCCUUUGGGGCUCUGGGAAGUGACAUGGUUCAUAUAGAAUGGCACUUGUGUUAGUCUUGUAGUGUCAGUGUCUGUGGUCACUGGGAAAGUGGAGAACCAUCAAGGACCUAUGAGACUACACAGAAAGGGGAGUCAUGGAGGCUCUAACCAUCAGCUCCCCCAUCUCACAGAGAAAGAAAUCUAUGUUCUGAGGACAGGAGCCUGAACCAUGCUGCCAAGGUCAGGGGCAAAUUCCUCUGGACUCAUUUUUAUUUUUUGGUUUUUCGAGACAGGGUCUCUCUGUGUAGCUUUGGCUAUCCUGGGAUUCACUCUGUAGACCAGAAAGGCCUCAAACUCGCAGAGCUCUGCCUGCCUCUGUCUCUCGAGUGCUGGGACUAAAGGUGUGUGACACAGCAUCUGGCUUCUCUGGACUCUUAGGUAAAAGAUGAAAUAAAGUUUAUAAUAUCUUUUUAAAGGGAGAAGAAAUGG
rnacentral:lncRNA from 1 species